rnacentral:lncRNA from 1 species
GGUAAUGUUUUUUUUGUCCCAGUUAAUAAGAAAUUUCAAUUUUCUUGAAAAGAUUAAAUACAUGUAAUGUUUGUUUUCCCAGUUAACUGAAAAAGAAGCUAAAUGUCUUGUUAAAAUAGGGGUUACGCCUGCAGAGAAGCUCUUGAAGUUGUACAAUGGAGAAUGGGGACAAAACAUAGAUCAUGUGUUCCAGGGACUGCGGUACUCUUGAAGUUGUACAAUGGAGAAUGGGGACAAAACAUAGAUCAUGUGUUCCAGGGACUGCGGUACUAAAAAAGAUGAACUAUGACCACGAUAAGAGAUGAAGAACGUUCAAAAACUCAUUUGCAGUCGAAUAAAUUAUUU